UAGAGUUUGAUCCUGGCUCAGAAUCAACGCUGGCGGCGUGCCUAACACAUGCAAGUCGAACGCGAAAGCCCCGCAAGGGGUAAGUAGAGUGGCGAACGGGUGAGUAACACGUGGGUGACCUACCUUCGAGUGGGGGAUAACGUCCCGAAAGGGACGCUAAUACCGCAUAACAUCCUGCUCUUGAACGAGUGGAGAUCAAAGCCGGGGAUCGCAAGACCUGGCGUUUGAAGAGGGGCUCGCGUCUGAUUAGCUAGUUGGCGAGGUAACGGCCCACCAAGGCAACGAUCAGUAUCCGGCCUGAGAGGGCGGACGGACACACUGGGACUGAGACACGGCCCAGACUCCUACGGGAGGCAGCAGUGGGGAAUUGUUCGCAAUGGGCGCAAGCCUGACGACGCAACGCCGCGUGGAGGAUGAAGGUCUUCGGAUUGUAAACUCCUGUUGCCCGGGACGAAAAGCUUCGACCUAACACGUCGAGGUCUGACGGUACCGGGUGAGGAAGCCCCGGCUAACUCUGUGCCAGCAGCCGCGGUAAU
rnacentral:rRNA from 1 species